AUACACACACACAUUUGAGGGAUGUUUGUUAGCCUAAAUGGAAAGCAGUUUGUUAUUUUCUUCCUUAUUCUUUAGUCCACAUAAUUGUGUUUAUAGGGGCCAUUGGAGGUCUCACGAAGAUGAGAGACUUAGGGAGUUAGUUGAAAAAUAUGGACCUCAUAAUUGUUAUGCUAUAGCACAAAAACUUCAAGGAAGAUCAGACUUGUAGGCUUGGAUGGUUGAAUCAAUCGCAAGGCUUUGACAAAAGAGGAAGAAUAUAUAAAAGCUCGUCAUUUCCUGGUCGAACUAUAUAUAUGUUUGAAUUAAUGCAUCAAUAUUUAGUCUUCUGAUAUUGUCUUUUAAUCUUUUAAGAUGUCUUUUUAAAAUUUUGUAGCACAUAUAUCUAGUAAAUUGUAAUAUAUGUAUUUAGUUAUUUGUGCAAGACUUAUUGUUUCUAUUUUGAGUAGUAUAAAUAAUGAUGUAGUUGAUAAUUGUAAUAAUCUCAAGUGACCUUGAGUAACUUGUAAUAAACUUGAGCAUUCUCUAAAGAUAUUAUUUUUUCUUC